rnacentral:rRNA from 1 species
GACGUAGGGCGCGAGCGUUGUCCGGAUUUAUUGGGCGUAAAGAGCUCGUAGGCGGCUUGUCGCGUCGUCCGUGAAAACUUGGGGCUCAACCCCAAGCUUGCGGUCGAUACGGGCAGGCUAGAGUUCGGUAGGGGAGACUGGAAUUCCUGGUGUAGCGGUGAAAUGCGCAGAUAUCAGGAGGAACACCGGUGGCGAAGGCGGGUCUCUGGGCCGUAACUGACGCUGAGGAGCGAAAGCGUGGGGAGCGAACAGG